rnacentral:rRNA from 1 species
CCUANGGGAGGCAGCAACUGGGAAUAUUGCGCAAUGGACGAAAGUCUGACGCAGCGACUCCGCGUGAGGGAUGAAGGUCCUUGGAUCGUAAACCUCUUUUGACCCGGCAUAUGCCGGGUAGAAUAAGCACCUGCUAACCACGUGCCAGCAGCCGCGGUAAUACGUGGGGUGCAAGCGUUAUCCGGAUUUAUUGGGCGUAAAGAGUUCGUAGGCGUUUUGUUAAGUUUUGUUUGAAAGACCGAGGCUCAACCUUGGAACCGGACAAAAUACUGGCAGAAUCGAGUUGGUCAGGGGGUACUGGAACUGAUAGUGUAGCAGUGAAAUGCGUUGAUAUUAUCAGGAACACCAAGGGCGAAGGCAGGUACCUGGGACCACACUGACGCUGAGGAACGAAAGCUAGGGGAGCGAAAGGGAUUAGAUACCCGGNUANUC